rnacentral:rRNA from 1 species
UACGGGGGGGGCAAGCGUUGUUCGGAAUUACUGGGCGUAAAGGGCGCGUAGGCGGUGCUCUAAGUCGGAUGUGAAAACUCUGGGCUCAACCCAGAGCCUGCAUCCGAAACUGGAGUGCUAGAGUUCUGGAGGGGGUAGCGGAAUUCCUGGUGUAGCGGUGAAAUGCGCAGAUAUCAGGAGGAACACCAACAGCGAAGGCAGCACUCUGGGCCGGUACUGACGCUGAGGAGCGAAAGCAUGGGGAGCGAACAGG